GGCGACGAUGUCGGUGGGAGUGAGUGCUGGCGAUCUGCUCAGCCCCGUCCAAGCUGCUACUUUGCACACUUUUCUCGAUUUUUCCGAUGGAUUUCAUCAAUACCCAAUGUUGUGUUUCAUAGCUGUAUGGGUGAGAGUUGCAUGUUGCUGGGCGGGGAUUCUUACGCAGGCAGGCUGCAUGGUUGAAACAUGGCGUUGAGGAUCGAGGGCUAAGUUCUAGGAAAGCUGAUGUGGUGGAAGUUUCGGAAGGGUUCGGAUUGUGCUGGGAAUGAUUCAAUGUUAUGGAGGUGCUGCGUUGGCGAGAACCAGAUGUUUACGUCCUCAAGAAUCUAUGGAGAGCAAGACUCGGUGAGGGAAUGAAGCGAACAAUGUAUUUGCUCGUCGUCGCAGGUGCUGCAGGAGUUACAUUGCUUGAGCUACAAUGCAGCGGGGGCCUGGAUGGGAUGAUACGCACAGCAGAGAACCUUGAAUUCAACACAUGGGCUUUCAAAGGCAAGGAAGGGGAACAUGGCCGAUGGGAAUAAGUGUGUUCGCACAUGGAGACCAGGAAGUAUUGGACAUCCUCAGACCCUCUCUCGGAUAUUCCAGAAUGUACGAUGGGGGGAGGAGUGAUCAAAUUGGUUUACGAGCAGGCAGUGAUUUGAAAAAUUCCUCUACGGUAGCGAGAGUGAAGCGGGCGUCGCACUCAUGGAGGUCUCUUCCCUGCUCGGUAGCAUGUAUAUUGGUGGUAUGUGUACUUAGAUUGGUGGCCUCAGUUUUCGUCUCUCAUGCAAUUUCACAUGCCCUUCUAGGUGGGUUCCCCCCUUAGUUUUUGUAGCUUCUUGUGAGACUUUGAUUCAAUAAGCUGCAUUUGAAUUGACAAUUCAAGUCGGCUUUACUAUCGCAUCCUCUCUUAGUUCAUUUUUAUACCUUCCGUCUUCAAUCAGAUGAAGAGAAAGGGUAAAAUUCUUCAAAUUUACUCAUUAUUUUUUAUGCGGAGUAGAAUGCUAGAAUUUUUAGUGUUUCGAUGUGUGUGUAGGUGAUAGAAGUUUUCCUCAAACGAAUGAAACGAGUGGGCAGCGAUCGGGCCCUGGUUUGUGUCGCUCUUUCCAAGAUACCGCAUUCAUGCAUUCUUAAUUUGAUACGAAUCACGUCGAUAUUAUCAAGGCCAUCCUCUUGGUGUGAGGGAUAGGAAUUAUGCUCGGCUACUGUCUUGUUGACAAUGUAGUAUCUUCUAUGUAAAGACAGUGGCACUCUUGGUUGGAUCGACAAUGAUGCAAUACGCAAAAAUGUGGGUAAGAAUCAGGGUUAGAAAAGGCAUGAUGUGCAGAAAAAGUCAGAAAGUGGUAGGUUAUACAGUGGUAGGUUAUAUGAGGUCGGGACGAAGUGGUAGAAAUUGGAGCUCGCUUUGACGACCGGGUGGAUCAGAAUGAGGAAUUACAUCUGGAUAGGUUGCUGACUGAUCUCGAUGAAUAUGGCGAUGACGGAGGUGAUCUAGGAGCUGAGAAAAAACUCGAGGGUAUUGAUAGCAACGAUGAUUCAAUACGGAUUUCGAGACUCAAAAGAGAAGUGGAUACUUUCCAAACUGAUGCUAAGGGCGUCAUGGCUGUGACUGACAGACUUGAAGAGCGAAACAGUCAGAUCACUUCUGAAUUCAAUGCUGCGAAGGGUCACAUUGCAACUACUGAUCACAUCGAAGUGGAUAGACGGGAUGACUCUCAGAAAGCACUUGUGCGUAAGCACCCCAGAGGAAAGAAAAGGCCGCGUAUUGCAUGUUUGUACAUCUUUGCUUGCUAAUGACACUUCAAUAUAUUCACACAUAUAUCAUUUGCCGUGAGUAGGCAUUGCUUUCAAGUACUUCUUCAUUGUGCGAGUCAUUAGACAACUUGGAAAAUUGCUGUCGUAUCUUAGUGUUUCAUAACCUUGUUUUUUCUAAUUGAAGCCAGCUUCCAAUCACUCGAUGUUGUACACUACCGCACACCAUUGGCGAUGGUCUCUGACAUUUGCAGACUGUGUAGCUCUACCUUGCGAGAUUGACUUUCUAAAAAGAACGGAAGAGCUUCAAGAGCAUACGGGAGAUUCAGGUUUUAUAAAUAUUUCUUUAUGUCCAAAGGGAGGAACAUCUUCUGGGAGAUCCAAAUUGGGUGGCAAAGUUCGGAGGUCAUCAAUCCUUUGCGGAGAGGGAGAGAUCUUUUCAUGCUGAAGAUCAGACAUUACAGUGUGAAUUCGUCAGGGCUCCGGAUGGAGAACGGUGGACUGGGUUCGAGCUAAGCAAGAGAGACAAGGAAUAUCUCGAUACUUUGAGGACUUCAAGAGCCACAUUGCAGUCUCUUCUUGCAUCUUCGGCGCUUGGGAUAAUUUGAGGACUCCUACAAACAGGAAAAUAAGUUUUGAUUCGAGGGUGAGGAGGACUACGAGUAUGCUAUUUUCAACCAUUAUUAUCGACAUUGUGCGUGGGAAGAAGUGGCACAGAACAAAAGGUUGAACAAGUUUAACCACAGCCUCAUUGAUGAGCAGUUUCAAUUCUAUCAACGAGAGGAACUUCCACGCUUUAAUGUAUUGAACCCAAAUCGUUACUUACCGAGCCGUAAGGCUUGUAAUCAGAUUGCACUUUAUACGCACUAAAGUUCUUCCUUGUUCCGAUGCAUUGCUGAAAACCAACCACCGCAGCAAUUCCCGUUCUCUAAUACUAGGAAUUUUUCUUUGCUAGGUUCCGACCGGAACAUAUUCCAAACAUUUGCUCCCGUAUAUGAUGUUUUUGUUGGCAUCGUAACCGACACUUACCAACUAGCCCUACUGCAGUGCCUUGACAAAAUAUGCGCAAAUAUUACUGGGAGUUGUAGCAGUGCCUCUCGUUAUUUUUCAUUUUCUCGUCUUUGUUGACAGUUAUGAGGUGUUCUCAACUGUAAGAAAUGUUGCUCAUUUGUCGUUA